rnacentral:rRNA from 1 species
GUUCUUUAAAUGAGGACUAGUAUGAAUGGCACCACGAAGGUUAUACUGUCUCCUUUCUUUAAUCAGUGAAACUAAUCUCCCCGUGAAGAAGCGGGGAUAAGCCUAUAAGACGAGAAGACCCUAUGGAGCUUUAAACAUAAGUAACAACUGCCCAUUAAAUUUUUUAAUCUCAGGAGAUUAAUCACAACACUUAGGCACUUUGAUUACAAGUUUUAGGUUGGGGUGACCGCGGAGCAAAAAAUAACCUCCGCAGUGAAUGGAACUUAUUUCCUAAACCCAGGGCUACGACCCUAAGAAUCAAUAAAUUGACACUGAUUGACCCAAUAUUUUUGAUCAAUGAACCAAGUUACCCUAGGGAUAACAGCGCAAUCCACUUCAAGAGCCCCUAUCGACAAGUGG